CACACCACAUAGUCAAGUGUCAGAUGAUAUAUAACGUCGUAUAUAGUCAGAGCAUACCUGUCAUACUGUCGAUGUUGCACUGGCUUUUCGAGCGACUUUCCAGUCUCGCCGUGACGUCACGCGCCGUAUCCCGAGCGCACCGCUGAGCGCGUGGUCCUGGUCGCGAGCACAUGGAAGUAUGAGGUCGAGAUUUGUGUCUGUGAGACGCGCGACCGAUCAUCAGGGGUGCAAGAAAAGGGAAUAUAAAAGCAAGAAAAGCAGCCUGAACAGCGCGGACGGGUGGUUUUGCAGACCCUCAUGCAGCCCCGAGUUUUCCUGCAGCUGUCGCACUCGUAGAGAAGACUGAAGAUACUGAACUGAGUGAAAAGGAUGCAAAGGUGGAAGCGGCUGGUGCUGGAUUCGGUUUCACUGAGUCUUAACACACACAGAGAUACCGCAUGUUUUUUAAUACUAUCCACUUCCUCCUUUCUUUGAGAGGACACAGAUACACCCUGAAUGGGCCCCUGUGCUGAUAUAUAUUGUGGUUGGGAAGUACCUAGUGUUACAACCGUCAAGCUGGCCUGCUUAAAGGGACAGUGCUGAUUACUUUCACAUGUAGUACAUUAUCCUUUCAGGGCUUCGAAACAUCCAUAUAGCUGGAUGUCUGGAGUUUCCACCUUAGUAAUGAGUGAGCAGUUUUCUGUGUUUAGUAGUGAAAGGGUCUUUUCUGAAAAAGAGGGUCUUUUCUGUAUUAUGUUUUGCAGGUUCUAUAUAAUCAGGAUGUUGGACCAUUCCAGUCGACAUGUAGAAAGUGUUGAAUGCAACUUCUGAGCUUGCUUGUUGAUUUUAUGGCUCUUGAUUAAAGACACAAAUUGAAUAGUUUUAAAGGUGUCAUAUCUCCUAUAAAGCCCACCUUCACACUCAUGAAAAGAAGAAAAUCCACUAAAAUUUUCACAGCAUGGGAAAUUUAUAAUUGCUUGGGCCAUGAGACUUUUGGACCAGAAUAUAUGUGAUGUCGUAAGCACAAUGAGGGGAAAGAGGAAUGGCUUUUAUUUUGCAAUAGAUUCUAAAACCACAUACAUUUUCCUUACUUUAUGUAUUUUCUGGCACUUUGCACUGCUGAAUGUUUAGAAAAAGCUUGUCUGAAUAAAACUUUCCCUUCUAGCA